GGUUAAGUUAGAAAGGGCGCACGGUGGAUGCCUUGGCACUAGGAGCCGAAGAAGGACGGGACUAACACCGAUAUGCUUUGGGGAGCUGUACGUAAGCGUUGAUCCAGAGAUUUCCGAAUGGGGGAACCCACUAUCUUUAGUCGGAUAGUAUCCUUACGUGAAUACAUAGCGUGAGGAAGGCAGACCCAGGGAACUGAAACAUCUAAGUACCUGGAGGAAGAGAAAGAAAAAUCGAUUUCCUGAGUAGCGGCGAGCGAAACGGAAAGAGCCCAAACCAAGAAGCUUGCUUCUUGGGGUUGUAGGACACUCUAUACGGAGUUACAAAAGAAAGUUAUAAAUGAAGCGGUCUGGAAAGGCCCGCCAAAGACGGUAACAGCCCGGUAGUUGAAAUGGCUUUCCCUCCAGAGUGGAUCCUGAGUACGGCGGAACACGUGAAAUUCCGUCGGAAUCCGGGAGGACCAUCUCCCAAGGCUAAAUACUCCCUAGUGACCGAUAGUGAACCAGUACCGUGAGGGAAAGGUGAAAAGCACCCCGGAAGGGGAGUGAAACAGUUCCUGAAACCGUGUGCCUACAAGUAGUUAGAGCCCGUUAAUGGGUGAUAGCGUGCCUUUUGUAGAAUGAACCGGCGAGUUACGAUUUGUUGCAAGGUUAAGCGGAAAAAGCGGAGCCGUAGCGAAAGCGAGUCUGAAUAGGGCGCAUAAGUAACAGGUCGUAGACCCGAAACCAGGUGAUCUACCCAUGUCCAGGAUGAAGGUAAGGUAAUACUUACUGGAGGUCCGAACCCACGCACGUUGAAAAGUGCGGGGAUGAGGUGUGGGUAGCGGAGAAAUUCCAAUCGAACUUGGAGAUAGCUGGUUCUCUCCGAAAUAGCUUUAGGGCUAGCCUCGAGGUAAAGAGUCAUGGAGGUAGAGCACUGUUUGGACUAGGGGCCCUUCUCGGGUUACCGAAUUCAGAUAAACUCCGAAUGCCAUGUACUUAUACUCGGGAGUCAGACUGCGAGUGAUAAGAUCCGUAGUCGAAAGGGAAACAGCCCAGACCACCAGUUAAGGUCCCCAAAUAUAUGUUAAGUGGAAAAGGAUGUGGGGUUGCUUAGACAACCAGGAUGUUGGCUUAGAAGCAGCCACCAUUGAAAGAGUGCGUAAUAGCUCACUGGUCGAGUGACCCCGCGCCGAAAAUGUACCGGGGCUAAACAUAUUACCGAAACUGUGGAUGAACCUCUUUAGAGGUUCGUGGUAGGAGAGCGUUCUAAGGGCGGUGAAGUCAGACCGGAAGGACUGGUGGAGCGCUUAGAAGUGAGAAUGCCGGUAUGAGUAGCGAAAGAAGGGUGAGAAUCCCUUCCACCGAAUAUCUAAGGUUUCCUGAGGAAGGCUCGUCCGCUCAGGGUUAGUCGGGACCUAAGCCGCGGCCGNNNNNNNNNNNNNNNNNNNNNNNNNNNNNNNNNNNNNNNNNNNNNNNNNNNNNNNNNNNNNNNNNNNNNNNNNNNNNNNNNNNNNNNNNNNUGAGGCCGAUAGGCGUAGGCGAUGGACAACAGGUAGAGAUUCCUGUACCAGUGCUAAUUGUUUAACCGAUGGGGUGACACAGAAGGAUAGGGAAUCGCACGAAUGGAAAUGUGCGUCCAAGCAGUGAGUGUGAGAAGUAGGCAAAUCCGCUUCUCGCGAAGCAUGAGCUGUGAUGGGGAAGGAAAUUAAGUACGGAAGUUCCUGAUUUCACGCUGUCAAGAAAAGCCUCUAGGAAGAGUAGUACUGCCCGUACCGCAAACCGACACAGGUAGAUGAGGAGAGAAUCCUAAGGUGAGCGAGAGAACUCUCGUUAAGGAACUCGGCAAAAUGACCCCGUAACUUCGGGAGAAGGGGUGCUCUAUUAGGGUGCAAGCCCGAGAGAGCCGCAGUGAAUAGGCCCAGGCGACUGUUUAGCAAAAACACAGGUCUCUGCAAAACCGUAAGGUGACGUAUAGGGGCUGACGCCUGCCCGGUGCUGGAAGGUUAAGAGGAGUGCUUAGCUUCGGCGAAGGUACGAAUUGAAGCCCCAGUAAACGGCGGCCGUAACUAUAACGGUCCUAAGGUAGCGAAAUUCCUUGUCGGGUAAGUUCCGACCCGCACGAAAGGCGCAACGAUCUGGGCACUGUCUCAACGAGAGACUCGGUGAAAUUAUAGUACCUGUGAAGAUGCAGGUUACCCGCGACAGGACGGAAAGACCCCGUGGAGCUUUACUGCAACCUGAUAUGGAAUGUUUGUACCGCUUGUACAGGAUAGGUAGGAGCCGAAGAGACGUGUGCGCUAGCAUACGAGGAGGCAAUGGUGGGAUACUACCCUGGCUGUAUGACCAUUCUAACCCGCCACGCUUAGCGCGUGGGGAGACAGUGUCAGGUGGGCAGUUUGACUGGGGCGGUCGCCUCCUAAAGAGUAACGGAGGCGCCCAAAGGUUCCCUCAGAAUGGAUGGAAAUCAUUCGCAGAGUGUAAAGGCACAAGGGAGCUUGACUGCGAGACUGACAAGUCGAGCAGGGACGAAAGUCGGGCUUAGUGAUCCGGUGGUUCCGCAUGGAAGGGCCAUCGCUCAACGGAUAAAAGCUACCCCGGGGAUAACAGGCUUAUCUCCCCCAAGAGUCCACAUCGACGGGGAGGUUUGGCACCUCGAUGUCGGCUCGUCGCAUCCUGGGGCUGUAGUCGGUCCCAAGGGUUGGGCUGUUCGCCCAUUAAAGCGGCACGCGAGCUGGGUUCAGAACGUCGUGAGACAGUUCGGUCCCUAUCCGUCGCGGGCGCAGGAAAUUUGAGAGGAGCUGUCCUUAGUACGAGAGGACCGGGAUGGACACACCGCUGGUGUACCAGUUGUUCCGCCAGGAGCAUCGCUGGGUAGCUAUGUGUGGCAGGGAUAAACGCUGAAAGCAUCUAAGCGUGAAGCCCCCCUCAAGAUGAGAUUUCCCAUUUCUUCGGAAAGUAAGAUCCCUGAAAGAUGAUCAGGUAGAUAGGUUUGGAGUGGAAGUGUAGCGAUACAUGGAGCGGACAAAUACUAAUCGAUCGAGGACUUAACCAA
rnacentral:rRNA from 1 species